CCCCGACCUCCACCUCUUCCUGCGCUACACCCCCGGGGAGGAGCCUCCCGCCGCCGGGACCGCGGCUCUCCGGCACGGCCCCGCAGUCACAAGAGUUACCGUUCAAGCAAUGCAGCUCCAAAUGUUGUCAACGUGAAGUGACGUAGAAGCUGUGAUUAUUCUUUACCUCCCUAAUGGCUUGUUCCUUGCAAUGUCACUGGGAACAAAACUAUGCUCCGAUGAGAUUAAAAAGCUCGUCGCAGUUUGCCACCAAGCAUGAGCCAAUAGCUUCCAAACAGCUGGCAGUAAGCAGACUGGUGGGAGUCUAUGGAAAUUGGUUACAAGCUCUGUAGUGAAGAGGUUUCGCAUUUGUAUUGGCCUUUCUGACAUCUGCCACCGAAUGUCAUGCUGCCGUGUGCUGAAGGAGCCUAUAGCACCUAAAUGAACAAUCCAUGAAAACAGGGAAAGAGGAUUCCGGGAAUCUUUGAAUAACCCCGUGGUCUAAUCUAGCCACAAAGAUUAACUAUUUGAGAGGUCACUGAGCUUCUCUUAAAUCUUUCAAUCUGUUCUACUGCAUUUUUUUUCCCCAGGCUAAUUAAUUAAAGGUCUGAGGUAAAAGUUUAGCUGCAUUUCAUCUAUCUUUUUUUUUUCCUGCCUCCCAUCUGUCUAUUUUAUUCUAACCUAAUCUCUAAAUAUAACUUAACCAAGGUAUUUCUGCUGCCAAGUAUCACCAUAGCAUCUGAAUAUAAUUAAACUGCUUUUACUGUUCUCAAAUGCUUUUGGUCAAAUGGAGCGCGACUCACUGCCACUUCUGUUCAACCCGCACUAAUUUUAAGAUUUUCAGAUGACAAAUGAAGUUGUGCAGAUUUUGUCUUCAACAUGUGACCUUGGAAGCUUUUAUGUUUCCCUGUACGACACACACUUGGGGAGACACUUCUUAAUUUUCAGUUAGGUGCAUAUGACAAUGUUUUUUUUUCUUUUAAUUACAGUGUAUUUGAUUAUAAGGUUCCAAUGUUUGUGUUAUCAUGUUUGUAGUUACAAAGUUAAUUGUCCAUGGUCUUGGUGAUGUGCAUUUUCUAAUAAUCAAUGUUUUCUUAAAGCCUUCCCUGUUCUCAUAUGCAAUAGCCACAAUUAUAAAACUCAUAUAAAAGACACAUUGGAAAAGAAAAUAAAUCUUCAAAAUGUCUUUGGGCUUUUAAAGCCAAAACUAACCCCUAACCAGCCAUUGGUACAGACCAUAAAGCACAUGCACUGUGUGUUUCUUAUGGGAAAUGACUGCCAUUAGCAUAACUGUAGCUACCUUUUGCUUGCUAGAAAAUCCUUUUUCGAAGUCACGUAACACAAAACAGUUAAAAAAUGAAUGUAUUUUCUUAAUACUUUAUGUGUGCAUGUACACUCAUUUUUCUUGAUGUACGGUGAAGGAGAGAAACUUCAGAAAACAAUUAAAAGAAUGUAGUUAGGACCCUGCCACCAAUGACCCAUAGGUGCUCACCUCUCUCUGCUCUCUAUGCAGAGAUCCUGGGGAACUUUCCCAGCUAAUGUAGCUCCCCAAAUAGGUGCUUCAAGGUAGGAGACACAGAUACAUAGAUAAGAGACACACAUUCGUAUUCUGCCUUUAGCACAGCUAAAAUGUGAAUUUCCUCUUCUGCUGUCUAUGAUGGGAUGUUAUUCUUUUUUCUUUUUUUUCCCCAUACAUUUAAAAUACAAGUAUAGAAACCUUUCAGUGUAGCCAUACCCAGAUCUGAAUCAUUUAAACGUGACAGCAUUUUGAUCCUUCUAAAAGCUCAAGUAAUGCAGGCUUGCAAUGCAAACUUGAUUUGUUCCUCCAGAAAUUCCCUGUUUGUGCAUCUUUCUCAUGCUGGUUUGCUAUGUAUUAGCUCAGGACAGCUCUCCUGUCUGUACCUUAAAUAUACACAUUGAAAAUCUGAUAUCCAUUUGCCUACCUGAUACACUUUUUACCAAGUACUAAUGAUAGUUGCAGUUCUAAGAAAAUUGCUAAUAUGCAGCCAGAGCUAUGGUUAUAUGAAUAUUGUCUCGUAUUUUGUUGUGUGCUGUUGACCAGUUGUUAUCAAGAGAUGCCACAUUUAAAUGGAAAGCUUUUUUGAUACAAACCGUAUUCUCCUUAUACCCAGACUUAGCCAAAGACGGUAAACACAAGCCAAAAUCCACCCUCUUUAAAGAAGCCCUGAAGAGUUAACCAUGUGCUUUCAUGUUGUACUGAAGAUAAAAAAAAAAAGAAAUCAAGCAACCACAAAUUUAGGAGAAUGGUUAAGUUGGCUGUUGCCCACCACUAGCACCAUCUGGUGAAGCACAAGUCUUCCAGGUGAGAAGAGAGGGAAGGCAUCAGCUAUAACCCUUUUAUCCACAUUUCAGCUGCAUGCAAUAACAGAUUUAAGCACAUUCUUAAAGCUUGGCUGAAGCAAGACCUCCCAUCCUUGUGCAAAAGGUGUUGAAGUUUUAGCAACUUUCCUUUGACUUCAGUGGCCUUCAAUUAUUGUGGAAGUGGUCUUCAGGAGGAUCUUUUUUAACACCAAGUUCUUUCAAAAUCCUACAGAGGAUAAACUUCCGUAUCCUCUUCCUGUGUCCCUACAAAGUUUUGCACAAUGCAGAACAAGAAAUGCUACAGGGAUUGUGCUCCACCUUUCUCCUUCCUGCUGGGAUAUCCUUUCUGUAAAGAAAUGUAAAGAGCUUGAGGAUGAAUGGGUGUGCCCAGCAAGUGUGACAGUGAGGCAAGAAAUUAGAAGCAGAGCCCUGUGGAGUUCCCACACAACAAGCUUCACCAGGAGACUAAAAGAGGAAAACGGGCAGAGAUGUUGGGACUGCACUUUAUACAUCUACUUGGCAAGAGGAAGGACAGGGAAAGGAAAAGAAUGGUGCUGGUCCCCUCUUGCAUUGCCCAGAAGGUGCAGCUGGGACAGUAAGAUAAAUCACUCCCACCACCGUCAUUUCCCCAAGCGGAUGAGGACCUGGGGAGGAAGUCUUGCUGCCAGGGUGUCCUCAUGCUCCUCCUGGCCUGGGACAGCUGAGAGCAGUCCUCCUGAGACCUUAAAGCAGACAGAAGGGCCCAUCCAGUAAUGCAAAGCAACAGAUAAUGUAGGUGCUUUUCUCAUAGCAAGGUUUUCAAAGUGACAAUUUAUGACUUGUCAUAGAUUUUUCUCAGUGAGUCAAACACCUUGUCUUAAAUUAAAACUUCUUCCAAACAGUUCAGACAUUUGAUUUUGUGACUCUUAUAUUUAUUAAACCAAAUUUUCAUCCAUCUGUUGGAUUGCAAUGUUAUCAGAGCUUGCAUUUUCAGGCACUUACACCAGACGAAUUUAAGCUUAGUAAGCAACCCAAGACUGCAAUAAAAUUGCGGUAGGGAUGCAGUUGGUACAGACUCUUCAGAUUCAUGAAAUAUAUAGGUAUAACAACACAACUUUGUACUUACAUGGGUAAAUGCAUAUGUUUCUCAUAAACUCAGUGAGUUCAUUGGUGUUGAUCACGUUUGACAACUUUUACAUAUACUUGUCCACUUAACAUCUUCCCAAUACAUUUGACUCUUGGCAAUGAAUAAAAUAUAAAGCUGCUGAUAAGCUGAAUUGCAUGUUUCCACUUAAAUCUGCAUUCCUUGUUGGGUUCCUUUGUUGGUCUUCUUUAGAAAUGUCCCAGUAUUUUGCCUACUGUGUUUGCAGUAUACCUGUACUUAAUGCUUUUUCAUUUCCUUUGUCUAGCACAAGAUGCUGUUCUUCCACAAAUUUCCAGGGAGAGUGAGAGAGAGAGAGAGAGAGAGAAAUGUUAAUUUAGGAAGUAAAUCUGCUCAGUGUUUUAUCCCAACAUCCUGUCCUCCUGCUGCUUUUUAUAUGACCUUUUGCACUGCACAGAAUUCAUUACUAUUGUAAAAAAAAACAUGUUUUUCUUUCUUACAAAAUUGCAAGGAGCCCAUGCCCUGCUUUAAAGUGGACAGUAUUCACAAAUGGCAAAAAUAUGCCUUCUUCCAAAUCCUUUUCAUUCAGCAGCAGCUCCAU